rnacentral:rRNA from 1 species
GUGGGGAAUAUUGGACAAUGGGCGCAAGCCUGAUCCAGCAAUGCCGCGUGAGUGAUGAAGGCCUUAGGGUUGUAAAGCCCUUUUACCCGGGAUGAUAAUGACAGUACCGGGAGAAUAAGCUCCGGCUAACUCCGUGCCAGCAGCCGCGGUAAUACGGAGGGAGCUAGCGUUGUUCGGACAUACUGGGCGUAAAGUGUACGUAGGCGGCUUUGUAAGUGAGAGGUGAAAGCCUGGAGCUUAACUCCAGUACUGCCUUUAAGACUGCAUCGCUUGAAUCCAGGAGAGGUGAGGGGAACUCCGAGUGUAGAGGUGAAAUUCGUAGAUAUUCGGAAGAACACCAGUGGCGAAGGCGGCUCACUGGACUGGUAUUGACGCUGAGGUGCGAAAGCGUGGAGAGCAAACAGGAUUAGAUACCCGUGUAGUCC